CCUACGGGUGGCAGCAGUGAGGAAUGUUGGUCAAUGGACGAGAGUCUGAACCAGCCAAGUAGCGUAAAGGAUGACUGCCCUAUGGGUUGUAAACUUCUUUUAUAUGGGAAUAAAAUGUUCCACGUGUGGGAUUUUGUAUGUACCAUAUGAAUAAGGAUCGGCUAACUCCGUGCCAGCAGCCGCGGUAAUACGGAGGAUCCGAGCGUUAUCCGGAUUUAUUGGGUUUAAAGGGAGCGUAGGUGGAUUGUUAAGUCAGUUGUGAAAGUUUGCGGCUCAACCGUAAAAUUGCAGUUGAAACUGGCAGUCUUGAGUACAGUAGAGGUGGGCGGAAUUCGUGGUGUAGCGGUGAAAUGCUUAGAUAUCACGAAGAACUCCGAUUGCGAAGGCAGUUCACUGGACUGCAACUGACACUGAGGCUCGAAAGUGUGGGUAUCAAACAGGAUUAGAUACCCGAGUAGUC
rnacentral:rRNA from 1 species